CCUACGGGAGGCAGCAGUAAGGAAUAUUGGUCAAUGGGCGCAAGCCUGAACCAGCCAUGCCGCGUGCAGGAAGACGGCCCUAUGGGUUGUAAACUGCUUUUGAACAAGAGAAAACCUCGGUACGUGUACCGAGCUGAUAGUAUUGUUAGAAUAAGCAUCGGCUAACUUCGUGCCAGCAGCCGCGGUAAGACGAAGGAUGCAAGCGUUAUCCGGAUUCAUUGGGUUUAAAGGGUGCGUAGGCGGCCUGAUAAGUCAGUGGUGAAAUCUCUCAGCUUAACUGAGAAACUGCCAUUGAUACUGUCGGGCUUGAGUACAGAUGAUGUGGGCGGAAUAUGACAUGUAGUGGUGAAAUACUUAGAUAUGUCAUAGAACACCGAUUGCGAAGGCAGCUCACAAAACUGUAACUGACGCUGAGGCACGAAAGUGCGGGGAUCAAACAGGAUUAGAUACCCUGGUAGUCCGCACCGUAAACGAUGAUUACUCGUUGUUGGACAAAUAUCGACCGUCGAGACGACGAACGACGAACGACGAGUAAGUAAGUACACCGUACGGGAGGACGGACCGGACCGACGGUACGAAACGUAACGAAAGUAAGUAAGUUAGUACGGACGGUUGAGGACGAGCGACGGACGACGACGAGGGGAGGAGG
rnacentral:rRNA from 1 species